rnacentral:rRNA from 1 species
GAUGAACGCUGGCGGCGUGCUUAACACAUGCGAGUCGAACGGAAAGGCUCCUGCUUGCAGGGGUACUCGAGUGGCGAACGGGUGAGUAACACGUGGGUGAUCUGCCCUGCACUUCGGGAUAAGCCUGGGAAACUGGGUCUAAUACCGGAUAGGACCACAUUUUGGAUGGUGUGGUGGAAAGUUUUUCGGUGUGGGAUGAGCUCGCGGCCUAUCAGCUUGUUGGUGGGGUAAUGGCCUACCAAGGCGUCGACGGGUAGCCGGCCUGAGAGGGUGUACGGCCAAAUUGGGACUGGGAGACGGCCCAGACCCUUAGGGGGGGAGGAAGUGGGGAAUAUUGAGCAAUGGGGGCAAGCCGGAUGCACCGAGGCGGGGGGGGGAUGACGGCCUUCGGGUUGUAAACUCCUUUCGCUAGGGACGAAGCGUUUUUGUGACGGUACCUGGAGAAGAAGCACCGGCUAACUACGUG